CGGUCAACUUACCCCAUACUCUAACCUGAAUGCAGGGAUCAUAAAACUUUAUCUUUUACCUUAAUUGUUAGAUGGGUGUUGAUACCAAACUUUUUUUUCUCGUCUACCCAGGAGAAAGUCAUGGGUUCUGCUGCUGAGUGUCUUUUAUUCUGCUUACCUGACUCAUGCAGAAUUCUGGCUUGAUGUUUGGUCCACCUGUUAGCUGGCUCUGGUGCUUGGUAGUCUUCUCAAACCUCUGAAUCAAGACCACCAUGAGAGGCCUUCUGAAGACCAUCAUUACGCUGCAGAUCCAGUGGUCUUUACUAUGAGAUAGAACUGAACUGGAGUCUGUGAACUAAUGCUGUGUUCGAGACAACUUGGAUGUUUGAUAUUAUUGACCUCAAACCCAUAAGAAGUCUGGAACAGUAAACAAAGUUGAGUAUCCGACCUCUCAACUUGGAACAGAUCCAUCAACACCGACCUCAACGAGAUGCGUCAUUUGACAUUGCAGACAAGGUGGUGGCUAGCCCUUCACAGCCUUACAUGAACCGCAAACAAACUUUAAACUAUUUUUACAGCACAUAAUAUUUAUGAACAUGAAUGUUAAAUUAUCCAGUAACCGUUUUCUGCCAUAAUUGGCACAAGAGCACAAACUUCUCCUGGCGUUAACAAAUGGUAAUGUUAAUGAAAGUUCAUUUUUGUCACAGUUGCAAAUUAACAACCACACAGAAUAUGAAGAAUAGCCAGAACUGUGGUAUUAAGCUAGCCCUAAAAUGUUGUGAGAAUCUUGAUGUAUUGGACACAGGUGUGUAGUAUCUGUUAUAUAUUGACGGUUGACAGGUUUGUUUGCAUGUAAUUGCAUUAUUAUUAAUUUGGGGUUGAUAGUCCAAUGUUGAUUUGAGAGAAAUAUUUUUUUCUUUUUCUUUUUAGAUCCUUUCUCUUUUUUUAUGCAGCACUUAAGGAUGAAGCACCCUGAUCUACUAAGAUGCACAGAUUCAACUCUGGCCCAGCAUCAUCCCCACACCUCAUCUGCCAUCAGUUUAAUUUAAUGUCUGUCAAUUGCAAAUGCUAUUUCAGUUAUAUUACAACUUAAUAUUAACUUUAAUUUAGACUAGUAUUGUGUAAAGCUGGGGUUUCCAAACUUUUCAUUUUAAAACCUAUUAGACAAGUAUAAUCUAUUCUAGACCCACUAAAAUAUUUUUAAAUAUACAUUUUUUUAAUGGGGUAAAACACAUUUGUUCUCUUUCAGUGGAGUCAUUUUAUUUUCAUAAUAUUUCAUAAUGUAAAGCAGUGGUUCUUAACGUUAUUCCUCGAGGCCCACUGCUCUGCACAUUUUGUAUGUCUCUUUUAUCUGACAGACUAAGUUCAGUUCAUGGAGAUCCCUUCUAAUGAGCUGAUGAUUUGAAUCAGGUGUGUUAAAUAAGAGAGACAUACAAAAUGUGCAGGGCAGUGGGCCUCGAGGAAUAACGUUGAGAACCACUGAAAAGUAAAUAUAAGUUUAUUUGCAAUACCAAAUAUUUUAUGGUAUAUUCUUUCAAAACCAUUGUCAUUGUUAAUUAUUAAUUGGCCAAACUGUUGUUGCAUCAUUAAGGUGUGCAACACACCUUAACCUACUGUGUGACCGACAAGUGGGUCCUCCUGACCCACAGUUUAAAAUCCCCUGGUGUACUGAAUGUUGUAUUGUAAUUAA